rnacentral:rRNA from 1 species
AUUGAACGCUGGUGGCAGGCCUAACACACGCAAGUCGAGCGGCAGCGGGAAAGUAGCUUGCUACUUUUGCCGGCGAGCGGCGGACGGGUGAGUAAUGCCUGGGAAAUUGCCCAGUCGAGGGGGAUAACAGUUGGAAACGACUGCUAAUACCGCAUACGCCCUACGGGGGAAAGCGGGGGACCUUCGGGCCUUGCGCGAUUGGAUAUGCCCAGGUGGGAUUAGCUAGUUGGUGAGGUAAUGGCUCACCAAGGCGACGAUCCCUAGCUGGUCUGAGAGGAUGAUCAGCCACACUGGAACUGAGACACGGUCCAGAUUCCUACGGGAGGCAGCAGUGGGGAAUAUUGCACAAUGGGGGAAACCCUGAUGCAGCCAUGCCGCGUGUGUGAAGAAGGCCUUCGGGUUGUAAAGCACUUUCAGCGAGGAGGAAAGGUUGAUGCCUAAUACGUAUCAACUGUGACGUUACUCGCAGAAGAAGCACCGGCUAACUCCGUGCCAGCAGCCGCCGUAA